CUACGGGGCGCAGCAGGCGCGAAAACUUUACAAUGCGAGAAAUCGUGAUAAGGGAACCCCGAGUGCCCGUAAAUUCGGGCUGUCCGCCAGUGUAAAUAACUGGUGAAGAAAGGGCCGGGCAAGACCGGUGCCAGCCGCCGCGGUAAUACCGGCGGCUCGAGUGGUGGCCACUAUUACUGGGCUUAAAGCGUCCGUAGCUGGAUUGUUAAGUCUCUUGGGAAAUCCACCGGCUCAACCGAUGGGCGUUCAGGAGAAACUGGCAAUCUAGGGACCGGGAGAGGUGAGAGGUACUCCAGGGGUAGGAGUGAAAUCCUGUAAUCCUUGGGGGACCACCUGUGGCGAAGGCGUCUCACUAGAACGGCUCCGACAGUGAGGGACGAAAGCUGGGGGAGCAAACCGGAUUAGAUACCCGGGUAGUCCCAGCUGUAAACGAUGCGCGUUAGGUGUAUCGGUGACCACGAGUCAUCGAGGUGCCGAAGGGAAACCGUGAAACGU
rnacentral:rRNA from 1 species